rnacentral:lncRNA from 14 species
UGGUUUUUUAGGAGUCUUCUCAUACAGUAUGGAGCUUUGUCCCAAAAAUCAGAAAAAAGUGGAAGAGCCAAACUCCAGUGAUUUUACUCUGCCUUGUUUCAUUUCUGAACAGAGAUCUACAGCUGUUGCUUCCAUGUCAGCACCUGCCCUCUGAUGUUUGUGUACUUGUGUGUUGUUGGAAUUAGAUGAUCUUUAAGGUCUCUUCCAACUCAAAGCAUUCUGUGAUUCUAUGAUUUAUCUCAGUGUGGACAAGAGAAGUGGUGCAAACAGCCAAAGAGAAGUCACAACCUCCUUUGCAUGUGAAAAUCCAGGUGGCAGGAAGAGUUGGAUGGAAUACUGCUUUCCCAGGAGCCUGUUAAACCAGAUGUUGUCUUCCUAUGGAUUCUAUAAAAGAACUUUUGGUUCAGCCUACACCUCUCAGAUCUGACGGAUUACUGUUCUUCCAUGAAGGAUCUCACACUGUCCCAAAAUUUCUUGAUGUGGCAAUUCAGGCUGAAUUUGUCUAUGAUUUGGAAAGCUCCCAGAAAAAAAAUCAAGAGUGGGAACCAUCAAGUGUUACAGCAGUGCAAGAAAUAGCUUAUUUAGCUAAGUGUAUUGAAGACAGACUUGAUAUUGUCAGACACUCAAUGGAACAAGCUCCAGGAAACCUUCCUUCCAGAAAAUAAAAAUGGAAUUUGAAAUUUAAAACAUGAUGUGCUCAUGGAAGAAUGCAUAGCAACCUGUGAUGUGAUAUGAUUCAUUUCUAUAUACGCAGGGAAAGAUUUUACAGAAAAGUAUGAUGGGAGAUGUACAGGAUAUUUAAAGUGACAUGAAGACUAUUCCACAUAAUGAUACUUAUUUAAUCUAUCAAGAGCUAGAAUAAAGGCUUAAAUACUUGUGUUUGCCCUCUUAUC